rnacentral:rRNA from 1 species
AGAGUUUGAUCCUGGCUCAGGAUGAACGCUGGCGGCGUGCCUAACACAUGCAAGUCGAACGGGGCGCGCAGGCUGAGGCUUUUCGGAGCGGAAGCCGGCGCUGCCCAGUGGCGGACGGGUGAGUAACGCGUGGGCAACCUGCCCUGCACUGGGGGACAACAGCCGGAAACGGCUGCUAAUACCGCAUAUGCCCGCAGCCCCGCAUGGGGCGGCGGGGGAAGCUCCGGCGGUGCAGGAUGGGCCCGCGUCUGAUUAGCUGGUUGGCGGGGCAACGGCCCACCAAGGCGACGAUCAGUAGCCGGCCUGAGAGGGUGGGCGGCCACAUUGGGACUGAGACACGGCCCAGACUCCUACGGGAGGCAGCAGUGGGGGAUAUUGCACAAUGGGGGGAACCCUGAUGCAGCGACGCCGCGUGGGCGAUGGAGUGCUUCGGCAUGUAAAGCCCUAUCAGCAGGGAAGAAAAUGACGGUACCUGACUAAGAAGCCCCGGCUAAAUACGUGCCAGCAGCCGCGGUAAUACGUAUGGGGCAAGCGUUAUCCGGAUUUACUGGGUGUAAAGGGAGCGUAGGCGGCCUGGCAAGCCUGAUGUGAAAUACCGGGGCCCAACCCCGGGGCUGCAUUGGGAAACUGCCAGGCUGGAGUGCCGGAGAGGCAGGCGGAAUUCCUAGUGUAGCGGUGACAUGCGUAGAUAUUAGGAGGAACACCCAGUGGCGAAGGCGGGCCUGCUGGACGGUGACUGACCCUGAGGCUUCAAAGCGUGGGGGAGCAAACAGGAUUUAGAUACCCUUGGGUAUCCCCCGCCCUCAAAACAAAGAAUACUACGGUGUUGGGGGGUAUUACCC